rnacentral:rRNA from 1 species
CACGUAGGGGACGAGCGUUGUCCGGAUUCAUUGGGCGUAAAGCGCGCGUAGGCGGCUCGGAAAGUCGGGCGUGAAAUGCCGGGGCUCAACCCCGGGACUGCGUCCGAUACUUCCGAGCUGGAGGUAGGUAGGGGAGAUCGGAAUUCCUGGUGUAGCGGUGAAAUGCGCAGAUAUCAGGAAGAACACCUAUGGCGAAGGCAGCACUCUGGGACGGUACUGACGCUGAGACGCGAAAGCGUGGGGAGCGAACAGG